rnacentral:tRNA from 1 species
GCCUGGGUGGCUCAGUCAGUGGAGCGACUGACUUCAGCUCAGGUCAUGAUCUCAAGGUUUGUGAGUUCAAGCCCCACAGCGGGCU